GAUGAACGCUAGCUACAUGCUUAACACAUGCAAGUCGAGCGACCGGCGCACGGGUGAGUAACACGUAUCCCACCUGCCCUUUACUCGUGGAUAGCGUUAAGAAAGAAAGAUUAAUACCCGUAAUAAUGGAUGGGGAUGCGUUCCAUUAGGUUGUUGGUGAGGUAACGGCAAAGCAAGGCUUCGAUGGAUCGGGGUUCGGAGAGGAAGGUCCCCCGCAUUUGAACUGCGGCACGGUCCAAACUCCUACGGGAGGCAGCAGUGAGUAAUACUGGGCACUGGGCGCUAGCCUGAACCAGCCAAGUAGCGUGAAGGAGUAAGGCUUAGUGGUCGUAAACUUCUUUUAUAUAAGAAUCGGUAUUAUAUGAAUAAGGAUCGGCUAACUCCGUGCCAGUAGCCGCGGUAAUUC
rnacentral:rRNA from 1 species